UGAAGAAAAAGUGUAAGAUUUCAAGGAAUUAAGCAAUCAAAGGGUGGGUUAACCUGUAGAUAGCAGACAUCGUCGAGAACUAUAGUUGGCCAUACUACUUAAAAAACUGUGGUGAGCUGCAAAGAUUUAUGGACAGAAGAUCAAUGGAAGAAAGUAAUGGUUGUGCGUAGUAAGAGAAGAAUGUGAGAGGGUAUGAGGGAGGCGGUGUAAAAGAGUUUUAUGGAGAAAAUCAAAUAAUUUUAUUUUUUAUUUAUUUCAAUAUUAAAAAUUAUUAAUAUUUAUUUUUAA